AGCUCCUGUAAACACCGGCUGUAGAAGGUCGCCAUAAUAAACUCAGCUUAUUGAGCAGCGGACGACCGGAAGCCAAGACCACUGUUUUGUAGAACCCGGAAGAAUGUUGCGCAUAAGGCCUAUUGAAGCUUCGAGCAUGAACCACUUUGGUGGUUCAUCUGGCUGAGAGGCUUUGACGUUUCAUGAGGCAUCAUCUAGGCACCACUAGUAGCGGGUGAGACAGCCACCACGCACCAUGCGACAAGCAGACUAUGCUCUGGUCAGCGGCGGUAAACGACCCCAAUAUAUUGCCCCGAUUGCGAUGAGGAUCUCGGCAGAUCUGUGCUCUGAGGUGAGCGGCAAAGGCAACGACCCAGAAGUGGAGAGAGUUCAGGAGGAAGGGCACGGCCUAUUUUUAUCCACUCGACAAACAAUGAUUGGCGAACGAGCCGGAGAGGGCGUGGUGAAACAGAAGCCUGUGUCUAAUGCUGCUAUCCAUGUGGAUGUACGAGGUCGCAAAUCUCCCAGCUUUCUUGCGGCAUUUCACUGAGGCACGCCCCCUUUCGGUCGUAGUAUCUCGUCGCUUUCAAAGUAGAGCGAGCAGAUCUGUACAACUAGCAAAGAAGAUGGCUGCGCCCGUAGUCAAUGGGGAUUGAGCUGUAUUUUCUUUGUAUUUGUACCACGUUGGGCACGAUCUGGCCAAGAAUGGACCCAGCCCAGACGGACGACCGCAUCUCCCGGAUGGAGAACGCGCUGCAGCAGGUGAUGGCUGCCACCAGGGCCGCCACAGCUCAGGGACAACAAGACCUGGCACAAGUCCGCCAGGAAUUGGCGAACGUCCUCCUCUGGCCCCAGCGGUAACCGAAACUGCCGCCCCU
ensembl:lncRNA